UACUGACCUUGGGAAGGACAAAAAGUACAUCUGCAGAACUAGCCGUUACUGUUCAGCCCGUGUUUGGGUCGGCUCAACCUGUCCUUGGGUCGACCCAACUUUGCCUUGGGUCGACUUAAACAUUCCUUGGGUCGACCCUCUCAGAGAACACAGAAACUUGAAUUUCAGACUUCCUUCACUUGGGUCGACCCAACCAUUCUUUGGGUCGACUCAAAGUUCACUUGGGUCGACUCAACUUCUUCUUGGGUCGACCCUCUCAGUAAUUUCAGAGAACCAUUUUCUGUCUGUCUUUCUGUCCUGCCUUUGGGUCGACCCUCUCAG
rnacentral:lncRNA from 1 species